rnacentral:lncRNA from 1 species
UGGGAAGUGUGACACAAAUGACUUUGGUAAGGGGUGAGCAACUCACAUAGUAUUAGUUUAACCAAACUGAAUUACCAUGUGAUAGUGAAAGCUAUGCCAUUGCUACUCAUGAUGUCCCUCAGUUUCAUACUGACUCAUGGCCUAGGACUCUGGUUUUCAGACCAAGUACUCUGACUAGAAAAUAUCCUCAUAUUUGAUGGAAGACAGCAUGAGACGGAGAACCAAGUUCCUUAAAGUACGGAAGUGAACUGUCUGUGGGUGACUUGCCUGGAUGCCGGCUAUAGCUGCAGCCCCCAAAGUCGAAGCUACCAGAACAGGUUGGAUGAGGAUGGCCCAAAGAUUAUGGAGUUGCUGGCCCCAAAGCAAGUCAGACACUAUGGGAAGUUUGCAUGAAUCAUGCCCUUGGAUAGACAACCUAAAUCAUACCUCAUCGAGCAUGGAUCCUGGUCAGCAUACCAAGUCAAGGCAAGUAAAGACUGAAGAAAUAUCACCUGGUCUGCAGCUCCCCCCAGAACGAAGUCUGCUACUGAUGGCAGAAGCAUAGAUAGACCAAGGGUAUCACUAUGUAAUGAUGGAAGAAGGAAAAACCCCAUGCAUUCACUCAUGUCUUGAAUCACCUAGAGAAGAGAGGGAAUCUGCCAAAGUGGACACAAUAGAAAUUCAGUUCUAAAUUUGGAGGAAAUGAGGCCCACUCUCAGAUAAGAUGAAAAGUAAAAGCCCUAGGAUCCAAUGGGGUAUUAAACAAAUAUUUAAAAGUAGAGAGGUGGUGACCAGUUAUUUCCUGAUAUAUAGAAUACCAUGGG